rnacentral:rRNA from 1 species
GCCCUUUUCCGGUUGAUCCCGCCGGAAGCUACUGCUAUUGGGAUUCGACUAAGCCAUGCGAGUCAAGGUGUCUUCGGACGCCGGCGUACGGCUCAGUAACACGUAGGUAACCUACCCUCAGGACUGAGAUAACCCCGGGAAACUGGGGCUAAUAUUAGAUAGAUAAAAGAUACUGGAAUGUUCUUUUAUCCAAAGCUUUUGCGCCUGAGGAUGGGCCUGCGUCCGAUUAGGUUGUUGGUGGGGUAAUGGCCCACCAAGCCUACGAUCGGUACGGGCAGUGAGAGCUGAAGCCCGGAGUUGGGGACUGAGACAAGGCCCCAGGCCCUACGGGGCGCAGCAGGCGCGAAACCUCUGCAAUGCGGGAAACCGUGACAGGGGGAUCCCAAGUGCUCAUGCAUUGCAUGGGCUGUUCUUUGGUCUAAGUAACCAGAGGAGUAAGGGCUGGGCAAGACCGGUGCCAGCCGCCGCGGUAAUACCGGCAGCUCAAGUGGUAGCCGCGAUUAUUGGGCCUAAAGCGUUCGUAGCCGGAUAAGUAAGUCUUUGGUUAAAUCCUGCAACUUAACUGUGGGAAAUCUAGGGAUACUGCUUGUCUUGAGACCGGGAGAGGUUAGAGGUACUCCUAGGGGUAGGGGUGAAAUCCUGUAAUCCUAGGGGGACCACCUGUGGCGAAGGCGUCUAACU